UAGUCAUAUGCUUGUCUCAAAGAUUUAGCCAUGCAUGCCUCAGUACAUAACCUUAACAUGGUGAAACCGCGAAUGGCUCAUUAAAUCAGCUAUGGUUCCUUGGAUCAUAAUUCUACUACAUGGAUAACUGUAGUAAUUCUAGAGCUAAUACAUGCCUCGAUGCCCUGAUCCGUAAGGUGAGGGGCGCAGUUAUUAGAUUACAAACCAAACGGGUUCGCCCGUGGUCUGUGAUGACUCUGGAUAACUUUGUAUGAUCGCAGCUGGCCCUGUUGUCGGCGAUGGAUCCAUCAAAUAUCUGCCCUAUCAACUUUCGACGGUAGACGACAUGCCUACCGUGGUUAUGACGGGUAACGGGGAAUCAGGGUUCGAUUCCGGAGAGGGAGCCUGAGAAACGGCUACCACAUCCAAGGAAGGCAGCAGGCACGCAAAUUACCCACUCUCUGAACGAGGAGGUAGUGAAGAUAAAUAUCGAUACAGGACUUAUUAUAGGCUCUGUAAUCGAAAUGAGUGCAUUUUAAAUCCUACAACGAGGAUCAAUUGGAGGGCAAGUCUGGUGCCAGCAGCCGCGGUAACUCCAGCUCCAAUAGCAUAUAUUAAAGUUGCUGCAGUUAAAAAGCUCGUAGUUGGAUCUGGGCCUGGCUCGAUUGCUAGUCUGUGCGCGUGUGUGAAAGCAUGAGUGUGCGGGCUGGUAUAUUCGGGUCGGCUUCAUAGCUGUGUCUGGCGGCCUUCACGGGCUGUCGGAUGGUGUUAAGUGUCUGUGGCGUUCCCUCAGGGGGACGUUGCGGCUUAGCACUAUGGUACGUUGAUGCCCUUAACCGGGUGUCCGUAACUCGCAGCACGUUUACUUUGAACAAAUUUGAGUGCUCAAAGCAGGCCGUUUGUUGCCUGAAGAUUCUUGCAUGGAAUAAUGGAAUAGGACUUUGGUCCUAUUUUGUUGGUUUGAUAGAACCGAAGUAAUGAUAAAAAGAGACAGACGGGGGCAUUUGUAUGGCGGCGCUAGAGGUGAAAUUCGUUGACCGUCGCCAGACAACCUAAAGCGAAAGCAUCUGCCAAGUAUGUUUUCAUUUACCAGGAGCGAAAGUCAGAGGUUCGAAGACGAUCAGAUACCGUCCUAGUUCUGACCAUAAACGAUGCCAACUGACGAUCCGCGUAAGCUCUUCAAUGAGCUCGCGGGCAGUCUCCGGGAAACCUGUAAGUCUAUGGGUUCCGGGGAAAGUAUGGUUGCAAAACUGAAACUUAAAGGAAUUGACGGAAGGGCACCACCAGGAGUGGAGCUUGCGGCUUAAUUUGACUCAACACGGGGAAACUCACCCGAACCGGACACUGGGAGGAUUGACAGAAUGAUUGCUCUUUCAUGAUUCAGUGGCUAGUGGUGCAUGGCCGUUCUUAGUUGGUGGUACGAACUGUCUGGUUAAUUCCGAUAACGAACGAGACUCUAACCUGCUAAAUAGUAUGGUUGCAAAAUAUUACGUGGCCCCCUGUGCUGGCGCCUUCCCUCGGGCAGGUGGUCGGGACAGGACCUCGUAAGCAGGUCAAACUUCUUAGAGGAACAGGCGCCAAAAAGGCGUACGAAAGAGAGCAAUAACAGGUCUGUGAUGCCCUAAGAUGUCCGGGGCCGCACGCGUGCUACAAUGACGAUGCUAGUGAGGAUGAUUCACUGGUCCGAAAGGAUCGGUAAAACUUUUCAAUCAUCGUCGUGCCUGGGAUUGGGGUUUGCAAUUGUCCCCCAUGAACCAGGAAUUCCUAGUAAGCACAAGUCAUCACCUUGUGCUGAUUACGUCCCUGCCCUUUGUACACACCGCCCGUCGCUACUACCGAUUGAAUGGUUUAGCAAGGCCAUUGGAUCGAGUCCAUACGGUUCACGCUGUUUGGAUUUGAGAAGAUGGUCGAACUUGAUCAUUUAGAGGAAGUAAAAGUCGUAACAAGGUUUCCGU
rnacentral:rRNA from 1 species